AGUCCACCGCCUCAUCUACCUCUCUGCCUCAUCUUUGUCGGCGAGGAUGGCCACCACGCAGUCCGGUGGCAGCCUCCUCUCUCCUGUCGCUUCUCCGUCUCCCCUCUCGCACCAGCAACUCUAGUGAAAGCCGCCGAGCAGACCACUGGUAAGCACCGGCAGCAGCAGCGAAAGCUCGUUGCUCUCUCUCUCCCUCAACUGCUCCGUCCAUCAGGGACGAACGAUAACAACAAACUCCGGCGAGAAUGCGAAGCCAACAGCAAGCAGCGAACCACCAUGUAACCGACAGCGUUGGUGGAAACUCCAAAUUCCACCCUUUUAUCUGGUUCCGGCGAAACUCCAGCAGCAGGCGAAGUGAACAACAAUAGCCCUAGCAAGCGGCAGCAACAAUGGUGCUCCAUCUGGCGAACCCCUUUUUCCCAAAAAAUUCGAGUUUAUUUAAGAUGGAUGUUGACAGAUCCGUCCAGCUACAAAUAAUAUUUGACAAGAAAGUUUAACCUGAGAUCAACAUGGCGAUCAAGGCUUGUCCAAUAUCACUAACUUUGGAAGAAAGGAUUGGACACGGAUAACUCAGUUCUAGGAAGAAAUCCAUUUAAGAAAUGAUUACCAAUAUUCAUAUAUAUUCAAAUGGCAAAAGAUUGCAGUUGGAUUCGUGCGGAGCAGCUUGGGAUUUCAGAGAUUAGGGUGAGCUUCUGGCGUCUGGAGCUAUCAGUUUCCAUCUGUUUUGUCUAGGGUUAGUCUUUAUAUUGUAUUCAGACGUAUCCUGUACUUGCCUUGUAUUUGUGCAAGUCGUGUACUCUUAUUUUUCAUUAGAUGCUCAACUAUUGAUUGAUGUUAGCUCUUUGGAUGGUUCAUAUAUUAUUUUU